GAGUUUGAUCCUGGCUCAGGACUAACGCUGGCGGCGUGCCUAACACAUGCAAGUCGAACGAGGUAGCAAUACCUAGUGGCAGACGGGUGAGUAACACGUGGUCAACCUGCCUCCGUGUGGGGGAUAACUAGCCGAAAGGUUAGCUAAUACCGCAUACGAUCGCCCUGGGGCAUCCCUAGGCGAUGAAAGGAGCAAUCCGCACGGAGAGGGGACUGCGUCCCAUUAGUUAGUUGGUGGGGUAAUGGCCUACCAAGACCGCGAUGGGUAGCUGGCUUGAGAGAGCGACCANCCACACUGGAACUGAGACACGGUCCAGACUCCUACGGGAGGCAGCAGUGAGGAAUUUUCCGCAAUGGGCGCAAGCCUGACGGAGCGACGCCGCGUGUGGGAAGAAGGCCUUCGGGUCGUAAACCACUGUCGAAGGGGAAGAUACUGACGGUACCCUUGGAGGAAGCCCCGGCUAACUACGUGCCAGCAGCCGCGGUAAGACGUAGGGGGCAAGCGUUGUCCGGAAUUACUGGGCGUAAAGAGCGCGUAGGCGGUCUGUUAAGUGUAGAGUGAAAUCUCCAGGGCUCAACCCGGAAACUGCUCUGCAUACUGGCAGGCUUGAGGGUCGGAGAGGUAUAUGGAAUUCCUGGUGUAGCGGUGAAAUGCGUAGAUAUCAGGAGGAACACCCAUGGCGAAGGCCAGUAUACUGGCCGACUUCUGACGCUGAGGCGCGAAAGCGUGGGUAGCAAACAGGAUUAGAUACCCUGGUAGUCCACGCCCUAAACUAUGGAUACUAGGCGUAAGAGGUAUCGACCCCUCUUGUGCCGCAGCUAACGCACUAAGUAUCCCGCCUGAGGACUACGGCCGCAAGGUUGAAACUCAAAUGAAUUGACGGGGACCCGCACAAGCGGUGGAGCAUGUGGAUUAAUUCGAUACUAACCGAAGAACCUUACCCAGGUUUGACAUCGAUCGCAAUCCCUAGAAAUAGGGCCCUCUCCAAAAGAGACGUGAAGACACUUGUUGCAUGGCUGUCGUCAGCUCGUGCCGUGAGGUGUACGGUUAAGUCCGCCAACGAGCGCAACCCUCGUCCUGUGUUACCAGCGAGAAAGUCGGGAACUCACAGGAGACCGCCGGUGUAAGCCGGAGGAAGGUGGGGAUGAUGUCAAGUCAGCAUGGCAGUUACAUCUGGGGCUUCACACAUGCUACAAUGGGCGCACCAAAGGGCAGCAAUACCGCGAGGUGGAGCAAAUCCCAAAAAUACGCCCCCAGUUCAGAUUGCAGUCUGCAACUCGACUGCAUGAAGGCGGAAUCGCUAGUAAACGCAGGUCAGCUAUACUGCGUUGAAUACGUUCCCGGGUCUUGUACACACCGCCCGUCAAGUCACCUGAAUUGUCUUCACCCGAAGUCCGUGGCCUAACCGCAAGGAAGGAGCGGCCGAAGGUGAGGGGAGUAAGGGGGACUAAGUCGUAACAAGGUAAC
rnacentral:rRNA from 1 species